GUGGACCGUACGAUACUGGGCGUAAGCGUGCGUAGGUGGUCGGCAAGUCUGUAAGCGUCCGUAGGUGGCCCGGCAAGUCUGCUGUCAAAGACCACAGCUCAACUGUGGAAAGGCAGUGGAAACUGCAAGGCUAGAGUGCGGUAGGGGUAGAGGGAAUUCCCAGUGUAGCGGUGAAAUGCGUAGAGAUUGGGAAGAACACCGGUGGCGAAAGCGCUCUACUGGGCCGCAACUGACACUGAUGGACGAAAGCUAGGGGAGCGAAUGGGAUUAGAUACCCCAGUAGUCCUAGCUGUAAACGAUGGAAACUAGGUGUAGCACGUAUCGACCCGUGCUGUAUCGGAGCUAACGCGUUAAGUUUCCCGCCUGGGGAGUACGCACGCAAGUGUGAAACUCAAAGGAAUUGACGGGGGCCCGCACAAGCGGUGGAGUAUGUGGUUUAAUUCGAUGCAACGCGAAGAACCUUACCAGGGCUUGACAUGUCCGGAACCUCUGUGAAAGCAGAGGGUGCCUUCGGGAGCCGGAACACAGGUGGUGCAUGGCUGUCGUCAGCUCGUGUCGUGAGAUGUUGGGUUAAGUCCCGCAACGAGCGCAACCCUCGUCCUUAGUUGCCAGCAUUUUGGAUGGGCACUCUAGGGAGACUGCCGGUGACAAACCGGAGGAAGGUGGGGAUGACGUCAAGUCAGCAUGCCCCUUACGUCCUGGGCGACACACGUACUACAAUGCUGUGGACAAAGAGCAGCCAACCCGCGAGGGCGAGCUAAUCUCAUAAACCACGGCUCAGUUCAGAUCGCAGGCUGCAACUCGCCUGCGUGAAGGCGGAAUCGCUAGUAAUCGCCGGUCAGCAUACGGCGGUGAAUCCGUUCCCGGGCCUUGUACACACCGCCCGUCACACCAUGGGAGCUGGCCACGCCCGAAGUCGUUACUCCAACCGUUCGCGGAGGAGGACGCCGAAGGCAGGGCUGGUGACUGGGGUGAAGUCGUAACAAGGUAGCCGUACCGGAAGGUGUGGCUGGAUCACCUCCUUUAUAGGGAGACCCGACACAAAAGAAGAAACACAAAAA
rnacentral:rRNA from 1 species